GAGAAAAGCUAGAUACGACGGAAAUUCAAAAGUUUUUUUAAGGGUUUUCUUCGGAAGUUUUGAGCUUUAUUUGCUCCUCAACUGUUUCCUGGGAUUCCGAAGUUUGAACAGAUUCUUGGGUGUUUGAUUGCUGGUUUUGCUGCUGAAUUUUCUCCUUUGGAUUUCAAAACUUUAUUGAGUUUAUCUAGCUGAUUUUUCUCACAUUUAGGUACAUACUAGAACUUUGCAUCUAAUGUAACAAUAAGAGCAUGAAAUAAAAAAUAUGCGGGAGUUUAAUCAUUCGUUGCUGCAGUUACAGUUUUUACGAAUAUUAUUAGAUUUGUGUAACUUGUUUAGUUUGUAAUUCAAUAAAGAAACACAUUAGGUAGCCUUGUACUUAAUUGCAGUUUAGUUUGUUUCAAAUUUUGAUUUCAGUUGUUUAGUGGGUUGUAUGAUAA